CUCUUCUGUUUGCAAAUGACGAUGUCACCCUUUUUUAUCCCAGCUUCCUUUGUUCUUUUGUUUCUGUCGUAGUACUCUUUGUUCUCUUCUUUCUUCUACUCCAAAUUCUGCUUCGCCCUCUUGUGUCUAUUAACUACUUUUUUCCUUGUGAGUUCUGGUAAAUAUCCCCGAAUUUGUCUGUUAAAAAAUAGUUCACACGGAGCGACUUUAGUAGUUUGAUGAGGAGUUGAACGGUAUUGAAGUAGAAAC